rnacentral:rRNA from 1 species
AUUGAACGCUGGCGGCAUGCUUUACACAUGCAAGUCGAACGGCAGCGCGGGCUUCGGCCUGGCGGCGAGUGGCGAACGGGUGAGUAAUGCAUCGGAACGUGCCCAGUAGUGGGGGAUAGCCCAGCGAAAGCCGGAUUAAUACCGCAUACGACCUGAGGGUGAAAGCGGGGGACCGAAAGGCCUCGCGCUAUUGGAGCGGCCGAUGUCGGAUUAGCUAGUUGGUGGGGUAAAGGCUUACCAAGGCGACGAUCCGUAGCUGGUCUGAGAGGACGACCAGCCACACUGGGACUGAGACACGGCCCAGACUCCUACGGGAGGCAGCAGUGGGGAAUUUUGGACAAUGGGGGCAACCCUGAUCCAGCCAUGCCGCGUGCGGGAAGAAGGCCUUCGGGUUGUAAACCGCUUUUGUUCGGGAAGAAAUCCUCUGGGCUAAUACCCCGGGGGGAUGACGGUACCGGAGGAAUAAGCACCGGCUAACUACGUG